rnacentral:rRNA from 1 species
AUGGCCCUUGCCGCAAGACGGCACGGGGAGGAGGCGGAACGUGAUGGCUGGGUUGGCGGUGGAGAGGCGAGCCAUUGCGUCUUCCGACACGGCGUCCUUGUCCGGCGGGUUCACGACGGCAAUGACGACGGUCUGCCCGCGGCGGAGGAGACCUUAGCCAGCUCCACCAUGGGGUUGAGGUGGCCCACGCCGAGCGAGGGAUAG